ACGUCUACACUGUUGCUUGUUCUGUCUUGUUGGUAGCAGAACUGAUCAGUGUGGACGUAGAGCAAGUUAUCAUCUACAAAGGAGGCAUUUCAGUAGUUUGGAUAAUGUCUUAAAGGCACGAUGAUACAAA